rnacentral:rRNA from 1 species
AUACGGAGGGUGCAAGCGUUAUUCGGAAUCACUGGGCGUAAAGGGUGCGUAGGCGGUUUGAUAAGUCUGAUGUGAAAUCCUAUGGCUCAACCAUAGAACUGCAUUGGAAACUGUCAGACUAGAAUACUGAAGGGGCAGAUGGAAUUAGUGGUGUAGGGGUAAAAUCCGUAGAUAGCACUAGGAAUACCGAAAGCGAAAGCGAUCUGCUGGGAAGUUAUUGACGCUGAGGCACGAAAGCGUGGGGAGCAAACGGGAUUAGAAACCCCAGUAGUCC